CCAGCAGCCGCGGUAAUUCCAGCUCCAAUAGCGUAUAUUAAAGUUGUUGCGGUUAAAACGUUCGUAGUUGAACUUGUGCUUCAUACGGGUAGUAAUACUUACAAUUGUGGUAUUUACUAUGCCUUAUGUAUGUAAGCGUAUUACCGGUGGAGUUCUUAUAUAUAAAUAAUACUUGUAUUAUUUUAUGUAUUCCUCCUAUUUAAACCUACUUCAGUGCUCUUCAUCGAGUGCUGUUGUGGGCCGGUACAAUUACUUUGAACAAAUUAGAGUGCUUAAAGCAGGCUCAAAAUGCCUGAAUAUUCUGUGCAUGGAAUAAUGAAAUAAGACCUCUGUUCUAUUUCCAU
rnacentral:rRNA from 1 species